UUCCAAGUACUAGUCUUGAUAUUUGUAUAUGAAAGCUUCAUGUCCAUAUGGGUGGGUUCUUGGGAAUAGUUACUAGCAAAAUUCUUGGCAAUAAUGAAGGUUGUUUCAUCGUAAACCCUGAAAUUACCAAGAUCAUAUUAGCCAUCAUAAAUAUCCCUUGGCAAGACUGGCUCUUCCACCGUUAGCUUGGCUUCUUUGGUGAUGGUUGGGAUUGCUGGGCUAAGCCAUUCCACGUCGUUUUGUCCUGUGAGGGUCGUGCAGAAGUUUUCGUUGCCCAGGUUGAUAAGACCUAUAGUCUUAUCGUCAACUUUGACAGGGCGAAAUGUGGUGCCAUCAUUGUUUCUAGGGUCAUCAUAUCCUACCCAAAUCCAUUUCGGGUCGGCCCACCAAAACUUUCCAGCAGUUGAGUCACCAAUGUCACCUGCUGAAAAUGCUAAGUAAUUUUCACGAACACACAGGUACUUGUUAUUAUGUCCUUUGAAGGCAACGUACUUUGGCAAAACCAGUAACUACUUACAAUCAAUAAUGCUGAAGAUAUCAAAGCCAUUACUAUCAAACUCCCGGUAGUUUGCCGACACGCAGCGAUUAAGUAUCAGAUCACUCCCUAGCCAUAAGCAUAAAUUGAACCCUGAUUGGACAUGCACGAUUCAUACUUUACCAGUAGCAUGGUCUACAGGGACAAACUUGAACAACGUACAUGUCUCCUUGGAUUGAUCUUCCUCCUAGUUUUGAGCAGUGGCGGUAAUCCAGUACUGGCCCUGUGGGACUCCGGCGAUGGAAACGGUUUUGGUUCGUUGCCAAUACUUGUUGUUUUGGCAACUUCUUAUAUGCACCAAGCCAUUUGUGUCGGAAAUCUCCACUUCGAACUUAGCAUAUGGACUCACGGCUUGAGAAACCCAAGGCAGGGAUUUAAAUAGCGGUCCGGUAUCAGAAUAGUGGUCGUUAUAUAGCGGUAGUGGCACCGUCCGAAACUGUUGUUGCUGAAAAUAACGGUGUGAAGCGGAGUCACGCCAAUAACGGUGGGUCGCGGCCACAAUUUAACUGGUAACGGCCAAUUGCGGCAAUAACGGGCCACUAUUCCCGUUAUUUUCGGUUACAGUAAAUUAAAAAAAAAGUCAUCCCCUCAAACAAAAAUCAACAGAAAUAGUGAAACACAAUAAAACAAAAGGGAAUAUAUUCCCCUGCCUGCAAAAUUAGAGAGCUUUCAAUCAAAAAAAAGUAAAAAGAAGUCCAAAAAAACAGAAAAAAGUAAUCAAAACUCAAAAGCAAUAGAAAAUAUGAAAUUUUGUUUCUUAUAUUUCGGCAAACAACAAGCAGGAGAUGAAAGCAAGGAGCCGAGGACUUGAAUCUGAAAAGCAAACCCUGCCCUAAUCACUUGCACAUUUAGAGAUUGAUAAAUUUCAAGUAAGUAGUACCUGAAAUUUUGUCUUGAUUUUUUCUUGUUUGUCUUGAAUCUGCAGUGCAAAUAUGUUCUUUAGAAUUAAGGACACCGUUUGAACCGCUUGACGGACACCAUCUAUUUCCUCUUCGAAGUUCUAGGUUUCUUCUAGUUCUUUCUCAGCCCUUUUAAGCCAGUAUUCCUUUACCUGGUUUUUCACACUUUCAACAGCAGUAGAGCCAACAUAUUCGGCCAUUUUUGUUGAUAUUCUGAUGAGUGAUGAGGUUGAAGUUUAGAGUUGGAGGCUUGGAGCCUUGGAGGCUACUGGUUAGGGUUAGGGAAUAGAAAGAAUCGUUUCAUUUUAUUUUUAUUUUUCUGUUUUUAUUUUGGUUUAUGGCUUUAUUGGCAUGCUGCUCUAUUUUUUUUCCUUUGCCUCUUGUUUUACUCAUUAAUUAGGGGCAGCCACCGUCCAUUUUAACCACUAGAAAAUAGGCAUGUAAAUGGUUCUUUUAUUGAGAAAUGGUAAGUUGGUAACCUCAAUUUGCAGCCACCUUCCAUUUUAUCCGCCUGUCAAUUGUUAAAAAUUUUCUUAAAAUAAUUAUUAGAAAAUUUCUUUAUUAAAUUUUAAAAUAUAUAUAAAUUUUUGGACACAAUUUUUAAUAUGACAUGUAAUAAAGUCUUUAUAGUUAAUUUUCCCCUUAAGUCUUUGUUAUCUAUGAACAAACAUUCAUAUAUUAAAAAUUAAAAAUAUUUGAAACACGAAAUUUUAUCAUAUGUUUGUUGAUAAAGUAAAUGUUUGUCCACAAGAAUCUAGAAAAGGAUUUAUGGAAUUUCCAAUGAAAUGGUACCUUCAAAUAUAAAUGUUAAGCAAUUUAAGAAUCUAAUUGUAACAAGUAAAAAAAAAAGUAAAACAUUUCUAAGAAAAAGAAACAAAAACACUCCUUUUGAAAGAAAUCAGAAAAUGAAGAUGUUUAGUUAGCUUAUAAAUAAAAAAAAUAGUAUUAAGUAAAUAGAACACAAUAAAUGAUUGGACAAGCAGAGGACUAAAAGAGAGAAAAAAAACAUUCAUUUUAUUUAGAAACAAUAAAUGAAAGAGCCCAAAAAUUUAAAGAAGAAUCUUGCAUGACCCAAAUAUUUAUAAACUCAUAUUAGAGAGAAAAAGAAGAAGAAGAAGCUUUAGAAAGGCUUCUCAUUUAUUAGCAAAAUUAACACAAUAAAAAAAAACUUUAGAUUUAACUUAAGAAAGUAAAAAAUAUAUAUUUCUAAAUAUAAUUUAAUUUGCAUAAUAAGAAAAUUUUGAAUUUUUAAAUUUGGUCCAAUUUGAAUUUAAAUUUUAUUAAGAUGGAACAAAACAAACUAUUUAUACCAAAAACUUUGGAACCAAGUAAUAAUGGGUUAUAGUGUAUUGUUGUUUUUUAAAAAAAUAAAUAAAUAAAUUAUGUAUGGAUUAUACAAUAAAUUUAAAUUGUUCAUGUUAAUGAUAUUUACUUUUUUGUACUAUAUUGUUGAUAAUAUAAGUAAUGAGUUGCUUAUAUUUCUAAAUAUAUUUUUUAUGUUUCUUAUAUAUAAAUAAAAAUAAAGCAUGCCACCAAGUGAAGAGUUCCCAACUAAAGGAUUGGAGGGUGCACCAAGUAAUGAUAUAGGUUGGCACUUUGGAACUCCAGUGCCAAAUGCGAAAGGAAAUAUCAUAUGUAAACUUUGUGGUAAAGUUGUGAAAGAAGGAAUAAAACGAUUUAAAGAGCACAUUGCUCAUAAAACCGGCAAUGUUGCACCAUGCCCUAAUGUUACUGGUAUGUGAUACUUUAUUAUUAUUUUUAAAUGUUAUUGUAAAUUUAUCAAUAAAGAUUAUAUAUAAUUGAUAAUAAUAUAAAGUGUGAAUUAUUUUUAUUUUAUUAACAGGUGUCAUUACAGAAAGUAUGAUGAAUAUGCUGAAAGAAGGAAACAUAAAGAAAGUAGACAAAAAGAGGAGAAAAGAUGAAUUCUUAUCUCAAUUGAGAGAAGAGGAGGAUGAACACGAGGAAUUCAUUGAUGAGGUUUCUGCUAUAAGGCAAGAAACUCGAGAAAGUAUCCAAUCACAACAUGAGUGGCAUAGAAGGGAAGAAUUCAGAGGAAGUACUGGUGGUUGGGAUAACAUUUAUGAAGAAUGGCGAUCUUCUCAAGGAUUAGCUAGAGAAUAUCAUAGAGAAAGAACACAUAAAUCCAUCCCAAGUGAGUCUGAGUUUACCUUAAGGGGAGCUAUACCUGAAUUGGUUAGAAGCAAAAGUUCAAAGCAACCAAAGGUCAAUGACUCUUUUUUAAAGAGUUUUCGAAGGAAGAUAGGUGAAGCGGUAUCUAAAUUUUUAAUAUAUGAAAGACUUCAUUUUCAAUUAGUAAGCUCUCCAUGGUUGUAUAACUUAAUUCAAGUGUCAACAGAAGUUGGACAAAGUGUAAAGGUCCCAACAUCUUAUGAGGUUUCAGAUGUGUAUUUGGAGUCAGAGUAUCAACGAGUUCGUGAUUGGGUAAAUGGACUAAAGACUCAUGGGAAAGAAUUGGGUGCGACUCUAAUGUGUGAUGGUUGGACCAACAGUUUGAAUCAAAUGCACAUCAUUAAUUUCCUUGUUUAUUGCAGUAAAGGAACCAUUUUUUGGAAAUCGGUAGAUGUCUCAAGUGUCCGUAGUAGAGAUGCUGAAUUCUACUAUUGUUUGUUAGAUUCAGUUGUACAAGAAAUUGGAGAAAAUUACAUUAUCCAAAUAGUGACUGAUAAUGAGGCAGCAAUGAAAGCUUCUGGAAAAAAAUUAAUGUUGAAAAGCAAACAUCUAUGUUGGACCUCAUGUACAACUCACUAUUUAGAUUUAUGCCUUGAAGAUAUUGGGAAAAAGCCCAGUGUAGCAAAAGUGUUAGAUGAGGCAAAGAAAGUAACUUGCUUUAUAUACAAUCACAUUUGGACUGUUGAUUUGAUGAAGAAGUAUACACAAGGGAAACAAAUACUUCGACCCUCUCUUACUCGAUUUGCCACUCAUUUCAUUCAACUUGAAGAGAUAACAAAACAAAAGCAAUGUCUGAGAGAAAUGUUUAAUUCAAAGGUCAAUAUUUUAUAAUUAGUUAAUAUAAUUACUUAAAUAUCGUAACCUUUAGUGAUUUUAUUAGUUCCAAAUAAUUUAAAUUAUAUUAUUUUAAAAUUUUUCUUAUGAAUAUAUAGGAAUUUAAAGAAUCAAAAUGGGGACAGCAAAAGUCAAGGACUGCUUAUGAAGCCAAAAAUUUGUUUUGGGAAAAUAUUUUUGGAAAAAAGCCAAUGACCUCAUAAAAGUUUACGAGCCCUUAGUAAGAGUAUUGAGACUUGUGGAUAGCGAUGAAAAACCAACGAUAGGCUUUAUUUAUGAGGCUGUUGAUAGAGCUAAACGAGCAAUUCAACAAGAUUGUCGAUAUUUCACAGAGUAUGAAAAAAUUAUUGACAAUAGAUGGAAUUUUAUGCAUUCCGACUUGCAUUCAGCUGGUAAGAUAAAAUGUUUCAUAUAAUUAAGAACUAUAUUUUAUUUUUUUAAGCUUUAGAUUAUUAUUAUUUGAUGAUAUUCUUAUAAACUAUACUUAGGUUAUUUUCUCAAUCCUCAAUUUCAAUUUGGGGUGGAGCAUUCUGAGAAUGUACUAAUAGAAACAUUAGAAGGUACACGAUCAAUAAUUGAAAGAUUAGAACCUUCUCUUGAUACUCAAGUCAGAAUGGUUAAUCAAGUUAGAUUCAAGUACUAUUAUUUGUAACUUAGUUACAUAAUUUGAAAUAGAAUUUUUAUUUUUAUUUUUACUCUAUCUUUUAUUUAUGCAGUUGUUACUAUUUAGAGAUAAACAUGAGACAUUCGGUACUCCACAAGCACAAAGAGCUUGGAAGCAAAUGAAUCCGAGUAAACAGUUAAUUAAAUUAUUUAAUUUAAUUUAUAUUAUUUAAUUAUAUUGUACAUUUUGAAGUUAUUUUGAAAUUUAAAUAAUAUUAUGCAGCUGAGUGGUGGAUAAUAUACGGCACAUGUGUUCCCGAAUUACAAAAAUUAGCAAUUAAAGUGCUUAGUCAAACAACUUCAGCAUCAAAUUGCGAACGAAAUUGGAGCACAUUUAGUUAUAUUCACACCAAGGCAAGAAAUAAGUUAAAGUAUAAAAAACUUGAAAAUCUAGUGUUUGCCUAUUAUAAUAUGAGGCUUAAGAUGAGGCAUCAAAAAAAAAAAAAGCACUGAUGAUAUAAAUGCUAGUUUUAAUCCUAUUAGCCUUGAUUAUAUCUUUAAAGAUGUUGAUCCACUAUCAGAAUGGCUUCAUGAGAAAGAGAAUCCAUUGUUAGAUGGUGAAAAUGCCGGUGUGUUGCCUGUGGAUACCUCAGAUGAUGAAAUAGAUGUUGAUCAAUCUCAACAACAAAUUUUGUGCCAGUCAAGUUCUAGUUCAACUCCAAGUCAGAGUGGCGGUGGACCCGAUGGUGGUGGUUUAAGUCCAAUUGAUGAGGAUGAUGGAUAUAGUGGUGAUAGAGGUGAAAUUAGGUCUUCUAGUAAGUAUGGAGGAGAAUAUGGGGUUGGUACCACUGGUGGACAUUUUCGUGACAGAUCAGAGUUUGAUGGAAAUAUGUUUCCUGAACCUAGGAGAGAUAGAAGUGAACCUAGAGCUUCAUCAAAGGGAAAAGGCAAGAAGCAUACUUCUAUAGGCUCUUCAUCUGGUAGGAGAUCGAGUUCUAGUAACCUUGGGUAUAGUGAUUCAUCUACUAGCACUCAAGGUUUUUAUCCACCAGAACAACCUUCAUAUUUUCAACCUUUACAUGGUUAUCCACAACCAUACGAUUAUUAUCCACCAUUUCCUAAUUAUGGUGUGACAUACUAGCCUCAAAUGCAUCCUCCUCCACCAAUGUAUCACCCACCUCCACCUCUCAUGUAUCCUCCUCCUCAAAUAUAUCCUCCAUAUCAAUUAUAUGAAAACCAAGGUGAAAAUGUUACUUUUUUUGGAUAUAUUUUUGGACAAAGGCCAAGAGAAUCAAGUCAAGAACGCUCCCAAAGUGAAGGUGAAGGAUUUGAUCUUCCUCGUCAUUCCACUAAUUGGUGAAAACUAAAUCGUACCACUAUCAUUAUUUGUAAGGUAUGUUUUUUUUUUAAGAAAACUUUUGUUAUUGUUCUUAAUUUUGAUGAUAUUAAAAUAUUUAAAAUAAUAUAUAUAUUUAGAUAAAUGAAUGGAGUAUAUUUUAUGAAAAGAUAAUUAAGAAUCGAAGCAUGUUAAAUUAUAUAUGAAAGUAGAAUGAGAGUGAGAAUAAGUGGUAGGAAAUAUGAAUAAUUAAUGAGAAUCUAUACAUUAAUUUAUCUAUUCCUUUUUUCUUUUUGCAGCAUAGAAUGUUUAUAUCUUCACCAUCUUCAAAGCUGUCAAGAAAUAUUGAAGACAUCUCUCAGGUAUGAAUUUUCAAUUCUUUUAUAUAUAAAAACUUUCAAACUUAUUAAAUAUGAUAAAUGUUUAAUAUUUCCUUUUUUUUACUUUGUUAUUAGUUAAUAUAACAUUCUUAGAAAAUUCGUAAAUAAAUGUAAGAAUAAUUAAUGAUUAUAAAAGUUGUGUUCUCAUAUCAUAUUAAUAAAGGUUCAUAAGUUUUAGAAAACACUCUAAAAAUCAUUAAAAGUGACUUUUUAUAAUUAUAAUUAUAAUUACUAUGUUUUACAAUAAGUUGUGCGAAAUUGAAAAAAAAUUCACGAUCGCGAUACCCGCAGUGACCGCAAUAGCGUCCUUUAUGUCCGUGACCGCGACAAACGCGACGCGACCGAAAACACGACCGCGACCGCAAUUUAAAUCCCUGACCCAAGGUUGUUUUGGCCUUCACGUAUAUAGCUUAAGUAGCCAUUAUUGUCGCUGGGUUUGAGGACGAUAAACUUGGGCAAGGUCAAUGCCAUUUGAAUGGAUGAUUCUGUUUGUUGUGUUUCACUUUCACUCUCGUGUUUUGCUUACCACAACGAGCUUGGCUACCUAUUUAUAUCUAUAAUGAAAGGGUAAUAUUGUCCACCACAUGGAAAAUUUGUCAUCUCGAAGGUUGGGUGGAAAGUUUAACUAGGUAUGGAACAAAAUGAAAGUGAGAAAAAGUUUAUUUAAUGAUUUAUUUAAAGCAAUCAGCUAUUAAUACAGUGAUUUAUUGAUUGAUUUAAGAUUUUAAAAGUAGGGUGAAUUUUUUAAAAUAAAAAUAUUUAAAUAAUUAUUUUAAUUGUAGUUUUCAAAUGAUUUUUUAUAAAUACAAUUUAUAUUUUGGAAUUACAAUUAGACUCAAUGCGUACCAUGUAUAAACAAAAUUACAAUUAUACCAACAGGGUAAAUUGAGUUAGUACAGAGGUGUCUAUUAUAUUGGAAUGUGAAAAAUGAAAAUGGUUAUGUGGUUAUUAUAUUCGGAGGCCCCAAAAUUAGGUAGCACACCAGACAAAAUCAGGUAGUAAAGUGGUGUAAAAUAAAUACUAUUAUAUAUAUAAGCCUUAUAUGUUAACCCAUUUAAAACCCAAAAUAAAAUUCAUUAUUUUUAAAUUAUAAAUAUAGUUUUUAUUAUACUUUUACAUAUUCUAUAAUUAAAUAAAAAAACCCUAAGUCUAAUUUUAAUGUCAUUCGCUCAAGAAUUCAUUGCUUAUUUAUUAUUAUUGUUAAAACUUUCAAAAAUUUAAGUGUUCAUCCUUUUUUUUGCUUAUUAUGUAUUGUUAAAAUUUUUAAAAUUUUGGUUAUCAUUAUUAAUAUUUCUAAUUUGGGUUUUUUUUCUGUCAUUACACAUUAAGAGUUAUAAAAUACAAAUAAUUUAACGUUUGAUUGUGUUCAUGAAGAUGGAGAGUGAUUAAAUCAAGGUAUAAUUAGAUUUUUAAUAAACAUUUAUAAUUAUAUAUUUCAAAUAAAUAUAUUAAUUGCAAUUUUAUGUAUAAUUGAAAAGAAUUUUAAAUUUAUCAAAUUGUGUUUAAGAAACAAAAAAAAAUUGUUAUUUUUUAGAGGAAUUUAAUUAAAUAAUAUGAUAUUAAUCUAAAAUAUGGAACUCACUUGGAUUUAAGCCAACUUGACUUUUUAGAAUGAAAAUGGCAUUAGUUUAAAAUGAGCACAAUACGAAUGGUGUUAAAUACUCUCCUUGUUCAGCGGGUUUUUGAGGUACAUUAAGGAAUAUUAAAAAAUAAACAUUUUUAAAUAUUUUUCCUUUUCUUUUUAAAAUUUUUAGAUUUAGAGCUAAAUUGUCAUAUUAUGUAAAUGUUCAGGGCUAAAUUUAUUGAUUUUUUAGAAUUCAAACUAAAAUGACGAAUUUUAUAAACAUUGAAGGUUAAAUUUGUUGAAUUUUAUAGAUUUAGAAUCAAAUUGAUAUAAUGUAUAAAUAUUGAAUGGCUCAAUUUGUUAUUAAGCCACUAUAAAUUGGCCCACGUCAGCUUUUUGUUACUCAUCUAAAGGCGUAUGGACUAUUGAUGGGUGUUGAGUACAUCAAAAAUAAAUUAAACUUGUAGUAUACAGAGUAGGGUCUAUCUCACAGGGAUUGAACCGAUUGAUUUUAUUGAAAUUGAUUGAUCAAAUUGUCUAAACCGAUGACGAAACUGAUAAGAUCAUCGAAACUGACUUAAAUUAAAAUUGGAAAACGGAAUCAAUGUAUUAUUAAGUAAUGAAAUUGUAUAGAGUACUUAUUGUACAUGAUAAUAUUGAACUAGAUUUGAAUUUUGAAGAAUUAGUCAUUCUAAACAACAGUGAUGACGAAUUUUUAGAAUUAUUAGGUACUAAAUUUAACUCAUAAUAUAAUCUUCUUUUUUCUAUCAAUGAAAACGAGGAGGAAUGCUUUGUUCAUGCUUGAAGAAAUUCUUUGGAUCAGUCUUCGUCUUGACAUAAACAAGCCUAUCAAAAUUAUUCUUGAAAUAUUUACGUCCCCAAAUGCUUGCUUGCUUAUAACUUGCCUUGCCAUCAUCAUUAUUUCUCCCAAUAUCGAGAUCUCUGUAAUUAACAUACGCUUCUCGUGGAGAUUUCGAAACAAAAGGACCCAUGUAGCUAUAAAGUUUCCUCAUCCAGCUUAUAUACCUUUGAGAAUUAUUGUUUUCCUCCUCUAGCCAACCGAUAUUGUAGUUUAUCUUGUAUAAGGUGCCUUUUCGAUGUGGAAAUGGAGUUUCUGUCUCUGAGAUUUCCUCCAUUAUUCCACCGUAAGCAAUAAUGUUUUGAACUGCUAUGCCUCCUUCGUCGACCUCGAGAAGUUGGGGCCAUAGCCCUUGUAAUGCUAUUUCAGGCAUUGGUUCCCUCACGUAAUCAGAUUUUGAUUUGAAUGAAGGAGGAAGAAGGGAAUACCUGUUGCUCCUGUCGAGCAAAAUCUCCGAUGUUUCAAACUCCGUUCAUUAACAAUAGAGAUUCGAUCCAAGUCAUCUCAAUAAAAUCUUCCUUAACGAGUCCAAGCUCCGGGAAUCGUUCUUGCAUCAAUGGAAUAAACUCAUUGGCACAACCUUGGAACAAUGAAAUAAAGGUGGCAAGAACCGUCUUUGUCCCAUUUUCACUGGCGUUCGUCGUUGAUAUCGCAACGAGUGAGUAUACAUCAUUCGGAAGAUUGGGUGCAACGUAUUGCCAACGAUGAAGAAGCUGUGUUGCAUCUUGUUCCAAGGUCCUGCCCACUGAGAAAACAGUCACAGUUGAAGGAACAUGAACCAGCUUUAUUUUCCAUGAAAUAACGAUCCCAAAGCUUCCCCCUCCGCCACCUCGAAUGGCCCAAAACAGAUCUUCACCCAUCGAUCUUCUAUCAAGAACUCUUCCAUUAGCAUCGACCAACUGCGCAUCGAUCACGUUAUCCGCCGAGAGACCAUAUUUUCGGAACAAUAAACCAUCGCCUCCACCGCUAAUCAACCCACCAAUUCCUACAGUGCGGACAACAGCUGCUGGGAAGGUAAGGUUCGUGCUUCUUUCAUUGAUUCUGUAGUAUACUUCACCCACGGUUGCACCUGAUUGAACCCACGCCUCUUCGUUUUCGACAUCAACAUCGACUGAUCGCAAAUUAACCAAAUCGAUAAUAACAAAUGGGUCAUGGGAGACAUAGGAAAGACCUUCGAAGUCAUGACCACCACUUCGAGUUCUAAUUUGGAGGCCAUAAUUUUUGGAGCAAUGAAUCGUUGCUUGAACUUGGGAAAUGUUCAAUGGUGUUACAUUACAAUAACCAAUGGUUUGGGGGUAUUAGGCGUAGAGAACCUGUGAUUCCUAAUGGAAGAAUCCAAAACUGCUGCAUAUGAAGAGUUCGUUUCAGUGUAGAUAACUUGAGUAAUGGAAGAGGAUUCCUUGGGAUGAUAUGAAUAAAGGCAUUCAAGAAAAUCAUCAUGGCUAUUAGCUGAAGCACUCACCCAUGACAAUGAGCAAACAACAAUGAAAAGCAAUGACAGAGAAUGGUGAAGGGACUUCAUGUUUAUGGAAUUGAUGAAUUUGUGAAGAUUUCAGCAAGAUAUUCCCCUUAUUUAUAGAGGCAAUGCUUUGAGCCGCCAUGUGAACAAAGUUUGAUUCAAGAAACCCAGGUAUUUGAAGUCAAUUCAUAUAUAAUAAUGGCAUAUGCUGCUCAUUUCCUUGUCUAACUAAAUUGGGUUUUUUAAUCACUCAAAAUUAUUCCAAAAAAUCGUCAAAAAAAUUUUCUUAUUGCAUACGAAUGUGGAUGUUUGACUUACAGUAAAAUGGGAAGAUACUUGGAACAAGGUGCACUUUGGGAAUUUCAAAGGGAAAAAAAGGUAACGAAAUUGAGAUUAUAAAAUUUUUUUAUUCAUAGUCACAAUAAUUUAUUCUUCUAGAAAAUAAAAAAUAAAUGAGUCAAUAUUGUAAUGUUAUAAUAUUGGUUUCUAUAUAAGUGUCCAUAAAUAAAAUCAUUAUAAAAAAAAAAGCAGAUAUGGGUUAACAAUCAAUAUUCAAUACAAAAAUAAAAAUAAGUUAAUUAACAUAAAAUUAGACAAAUGAGUCAAAAUUCUCUCCCUGCGUACUUCCUUGACGGUGUCAUAUGACUCUUUGAAUCAAUUUUGCACAAUUAAACACAAUUUAACGUCUCAUAUUUUAUUAGCAAAUUCAAUUUAUUAAAUUUUGCUAUUAAUUUUAAUUUUUUGCUGAAGUUACAAUUUAACGUCUCAUAUUUAACAAUGUCGCUUUGCAUGAAAGUGAAGGGAACAUCGCACUUACCUUUGGUUGCAAUGAGGUUAACCGUCACCUUAGUCAUCGCAGGCACAACAAUUUUGUGUACAACGUCUACUAAAGUUUUCGAUUCUUUGGUCUCUUCCCACUUGACAUCUGAGUGAAAUUCACCGGACAUUUCAAUAUUUCCCUGAGAAAUCAAUGGUACGUUGAAUUCCAUUUUAGCUUCCAUUGCUAACUUGAGUGAAAAUUUACUCUUCCAAGUACUAGUCUUGAUAUCUGUAUAUGAAAGCUUCAUGUCCAUAUGGGUAUGUUCUUGGGUAUAGUUACUAGCAAAAUUCUUGGAAAUAAUGAAGGUUGUUUCGUCGUAAACCCUGGAAUUACCAAGAUCAUAUUUGACAUCAUAGAUAUCCCUUGUCAAGACUGGCUCUUCCACUAUUAGCUUGCCUUCUUUGGU
rnacentral:lncRNA from 1 species